UGGGCCCGGUGCCCCGAAGGAUUCCCUGGAAUUGAUUUCGGCACAAAACUGUUCUGCGAACAAUGAAAUGAUGCCCCCUUUCACCCCCCGUUCUUUUCUAAGGGGAAUAAUAGGAAGGCCAAUUUCUUCCACCUAUUCAACUGGAAGGAGGUAGAUUCCUAAAGGAAGAUUACCUAUUUUCAUUUCUAAAGGGACAUGGUCAUAACAUUUGAGGCGAAAGUUUAAAAAUUAAAAAGAAAUGAAGAAAUACUUCAACAUUUUUCAGUUUAAUUUCACAGCAUGCACAAAUUUCGUAAAUUUGGCCUCAGAUUCCUAUGGAUGUUUGAGUGUAUUGGUGUUCAACAAAAGAGACAGACGGAUCUAGAGUUAUGGAAUCUGGAUAAUCACACUUCUGAGAAUAAGAAGAUGCAAAUUGGAGAAACAAACUCCACCUGAUGAAAAAAGUGAGGUUCCUGCCAAGUGGAGCACGGCAAGAGAGCGGCUGUCUGCUAUUUCGCCGAACCGUGAACGAAUCUUCAGAUUUCGAGCGCCUCUUGAGGGAUGGAUGUCAUUUUUGUUCGCCCCUUUUAUCUGCCGGCUAAAAAUACAGCCAACGAGGCGGUUGAAGAGCGCUCCAGGCGAGAGGCAUCUUGACGUGCAACAAGAUAGCGUCCUUUAUAUUCAGAAAAGCUUUCUUAUCGGUCCUGUCUAUUCUGCCUGGAUUCCGAAAAACGGAACAAAAAGCACCACGAAGAAUAUUGGAUGUGUGGUUGGUUCGGUGUCUUGAGCAUCAUUUUGGAUUCUUCCAGGUCGAUGUUCGAAGGAAAUAAGAUUUAUUAAGUGUGAAGAAAUGUUCUCUUUGAACUGUUGCAGUGAAAUUUUUAAUCCAUUAAAAUUAAUACCCGAAAUAAAAAAAAUAGUCUAGCUAGAUGUAGUAGUUUUCUGGCAAUCCUGUCUUUAAAUCCUUUUUAUGAUUUGCUUAUGCUCUAGUGCGACGCAAUGUCAAUUGCAUUCAGCAGACACAGAGACUUCGAAUUUAUAAAUACAACUGUA